AUUGAACGCUGGCGGCAUGCUUUACACAUGCAAGUCGAGCGGCAGCGCGGGGGCAACCCUGGCGGCGAGCGGCGAACGGGUGAGUAAUGCAUCGGAACGUAUCCUCGAGUGGGGGAUAACCCAGCGAAAGUUGGGCUAAUACCGCAUGAGCUCUGAGGAGGAAAGCGGGGGACCUGCGAGGGCCUCGCGCUGGAGGAGCGGCCGAUGUCCGAUUAGCUAGUUGGUGGGGUAAAGGCUUACCAAGGCGACGAUCGGUAGCUGGUCUGAGAGGAUGAUCAGCCACGUGGGGAUAGACACACGCCCGAGACUCCGGGGGAGGGGGCGGGGGGGAAGUGUGGAAAAGGGGGGACAACCUGAACCCAGCCGUCCGGGGUGAGAGAAGAGGGCCUUGGGUUUGUAAGGCUUUCCGGGGGGAAAGAAAGGGGGGGGACCUAAUACCCGGUGUUGAUGAGGGAACCUAAAAAAAAGACCCCGGCUAACUCCGUC
rnacentral:rRNA from 1 species